rnacentral:rRNA from 1 species
GACGAACGCUGGCGGCGUGCUUAACACAUGCAAGUCGAACGGAAAGGCCCUGCUUUUGUGGUGUUCUCGAGUGGCGAACGGGUGAGUAACACGUGUGUAACCUGCCCCUGUCUUUGGGAUAACUUCAGGAAACUGGGGCUAAUACCGGAUAGGAUCUCCUGCUGCAUGGUGUGGGUUGGAAAGUUUCGGCGGUUGGGGAUGGACUCGCGGCUUAUCAGCUUGUUGGUGGGGUAGUGGCUUACCAAGGCUUUGACGGGUAGCCGGCCUGGGAGGGUGACCGGCCACAUUGGGACUGAGAUACGGCCCAGACUCCUACGGGAGGCAGCAGUGGGGAAUAUUGCACAAUGGGCGGAAGCCUGAUGCAGCAACGCCGCGUGCGGGAUGACGGCCUUCGGGUUGUAAACCGCUUUCGCCUGUGACGAAGCGUGAGUGACGGUAAUGGGUAAAGAAGCACCGGCUAACUACGUG